UGCAUGCUGUGGCAUGUUGGGAAAAGGACUGGCCAAGAUACCAUUGCUCACUGACAGCUGUACUGGCCAAAAGAAUUCCCCUGAGUGUACUUGGCAGCAUAGGGCAUAGGAAGCACAUGAGAGUCAGAUGCUUUCAACCCAGAAUGACUUUAAAGGCAAAAAUAAGCAAAAAAAAAAUAUCAAUCUUUGUGAAGAGCUUUAGUUCUACUCAGAAUCCAAUUUGAAGGUCAGCUAAGGCCUCUGAAGCAGGAGGAGUUCUAGGCCUAGCCCUUGGGGAGGUCCACCAGUUAGACCUGGCCGUAAUAAAGCCACAUAGUGACCACAAGACCUUAGUGGCAGAGACUAUUUAUUGAGCUCAUGAUCUAUAGGGCCUGGCCUGGGCAUGGUUUCCCUUAUUGUAUUAUCUACUCAUGGAUUUGCAGAGAUCUGUGGAUCAACUGGGUAGUUUUGCCGAUCCUGAAUGGACUUCCUCACAUGUCUGGGACAGGCUGUCUGUUGACGGAUCUAAGAUCUCAACAGGAUGCCUGGAGCAACAUGAAUCUCUUUGACAUGUGUCUUAUCCUCCAGCAGAAUGGCCCAGGCAUGUUCCCCUGCUGAUAAUACAGGAGGAAGAUGAGCAAGUCCAAAAGCAAAGGGAUAUAUGUGGCUGGCUAUUCCAUUGUCCAAGCAAGUCACAUGGCUCAGAGUGAGAGACUCCAUACAGUGACAUGGAAAGUCAUGGAUCAGGUAG
rnacentral:lncRNA from 1 species